UACGUAGGUGGCAAGCGUUGUCCGGAAUUACUGGGUGUAAAGGGAGCGUAGGCGGGAAUGCAAGUUGAAUGUUAAAUCUAUGGGCUCAACCCAUAUCCGCGUUCAAAACUGCAUUUCUUGAGUGAAGUAGAGGUAGGCGGAAUUCCUAGUGUAGCGGUGAAAUGCGUAAAUAUUAGGAGGAACACCAGUGGCGAAGGCGGCCUACUGGGCUUUAACUGACGCUGAGGCUCGAAAGCGUGGGUAGCAAACAGG
rnacentral:rRNA from 1 species